AGCAGUAGCCGCGGUAAUACGUAGGUGGCAAGCGUUGUCCGGAAUUAUUGGGCGUAAAGGGCUCGCAGGCGGUUUCUUAAGUCUGAUGUGAAAGCCCCCGGCUCAACCGGGGAGGGUCAUUGGAAACUGGGAAACUUGAGUGCAGAAGAGGAGAGUGGAAUUCCACGUGUAGCGGUGAAAUGCGUAGAGAUGUGGAGGAACACCAGUGGCGAAGGCGACUCUCUGGUCUGUAACUGACGCUGAGGAGCGAAAGCGUGGGGAGCGAACAGGAUUAGAACCCCAGUAGUCCCUGUCUCUUAUACA
rnacentral:rRNA from 1 species